UGAUGACACAAUAGUCUCAGAUGUCUGUACU
rnacentral:piRNA from 2 species